UACGUAGGGCGCAAGCGUUGUCCGGAAUUAUUGGGCGUAAAGGGCUCGUAGGCGGUUUGUCGCGUCGGGAGUGAAAACCCAGGGCUUAACCCUGGGCUGGCUUCCGAUACGGGCAGACUAGAGGUAUGCAGGGGAGAACGGAAUUCCUGGUGUAGCGGUGAAAUGCGCAGAUAUCAGGAGGAACACCGGUGGCGAAGGCGGUUCUCUGGGCAUUACCUGACGCUGAGGAGCGAAAGCGUGGGGAGCGAACAGG
rnacentral:rRNA from 1 species